UACGUAGGGUGCAAGCGUUACUCGGAAUUACUGGGCGUAAAGCGCACGCAGGUGGCUGAGUCAGUCGAUUGUGAAAGCCCUGGGCUUAACCUGGGAAUUGCAGUCGAUACUACUCAGCUAGAGUAUGGGAGAGGGUAGUGGAAUUCCCGGUGUAGCGGUGAAAUGCGUAGAUAUCGGGAGGAACAUCAGUGGCGAAGGCGGCUACCUGGACAAUUGCUGACGCUCAGGCACGAAAGCGUGGGGAGCAAAAGGG
rnacentral:rRNA from 1 species